rnacentral:lncRNA from 1 species
UCACACCUAAGGAAGCCAAUAGAAGCCUUGGUAUGCUUACUUUUGUCCUCUGCAGAAUGAAAGUCACUGUCGUAUGGUCGCUUGUUACGGUCGAACCUUCUGAGUGAGCCAAUUCUUAGUUGCUGGAAGUAAUGAUGUCAUGACUAUGCUGUGUAUAGUGAAAGUUUCCAACUAUUUAUUCAACUUGGUGUCCUGUAGUAACGCAAGUAAUGCUGACAUUGGCUUUUGUUUGCUGUAUCGCUGUCUGUAUCGGGAUUGUAUUGGACUUGAUCUCUUUGAUAACCCUACUAUGUUGUGCACAUAUAGAUAUUAGAUGUUUAACUGGGUGGCAUUGUUCAUUGAAUCAUUUCACUGUUCACAUUAUUGGACUCAGUGGACUCAGCUAUAUCUGCAUUGGUUCCAUCCAAUGAAAG